GGGAGCCACAUACAGGAUGAAGGAAGUUAUCCCGCUGACCGUUUGUCAGGGUUCCAUCUUAAAUUUCGUGGAUACGUGAGCUUUCAUUUCUGAACAAAAUCAGAAUCUACUAAAGACUCUGAACCAGUCUUCAACAGCUCAGCAUCAGAUUUGGGUCCUCUGAAGCGUGGGCCGCCUGCAGCCCUGCAAGGCCCACAACUCACCUGCGUAGACGUGCCAGCCUGGGGCCCUGCUGGAGCCGGUCACCGGCCUGGACUCAGCGUUUCUCAGCCUCAGCAUGUGCACGGUUUAGGCCAAAUCAUCUUUGUCGUGGGGCACAGGACACUGUGUGUUGUGGGAUGUUUGGCAGCAUCCCUGGCCUCUGCCAUUGGUGCUGUUAUCCCAGGCCCCUUUCCCCAGUGGGGACAACCGAAAGUGCCUCCAGACACUGCUGAAUGUCCCCUGGAGGUCACAGUCCUCCUGAUGGAGAACUACCCAUUGUCUACUCUCGUCUGUGCCCUUAGGCAGGAAGCCAAGAGAGCUGUGGGGGCCGAGGAGCAGCUGCUCUCUUCUGAGACUGGAGGAGACAUCACCUGUGAACACCACCCGCUUUAGGCAAUGAGACUGAAGUCUCCUUCCUCAGCCCACAUAGUCACGACCCAUGGAAACGGACACCACGGAUGGCGGUGGGCUGCGCGAUGGUUUCUCGCCUACUUGCUUCAACCAUCUGGCAUCUGAACACGGCUUUGUCUCAAGAACUCCACCCUCCAGAAGCACGGAAUGGCGAGGAGACAGAUACGGGAAGGCCAGGCACAGGAGGCAGUUGAUGGAGAUGCCUUCCAAAUAUUGGACUCCUAGCAAGAAUCUCUGCCUGAAAAUCCUGCAGUGUGGGGCACCCCAUGGUUCCGGCAUGAGCAAACAAAGGCUGAACACCGAGCUCUCCUGGCAAACACCCUUUAUCACAGAGUCCACAGACGGGAGGUGGGUGCACAGUUCAACCUCCUCCAGCUUCGUCUGUGUCCACGGAGUGCUUGGCAACACCAGGGCCCGAACGGAAGGACUUCACUCCCGUGGGAUGGUUCUACUGACCAACAGGUUGAUGCAAAGGGAGACGUAUGGUAAACAGGGAGCACCCCACGUUCACCUGAGGGCUUCACCGUGCUGGCGUCACAGGGGGCACCCCACGUUCGCCUGAGGACGUCACCGUGCAGGUUCACAGACGAGCUGAAGUCUGCACGUGGGGUUUUGCUCCAGGUGAAGCCAGCCCUGGACUCCCAGUUCCAUCUUUGACAAGCCUGUGAUUGCAGCAUGGUCUUGGAAUCAGACAGCGAAGGGCAAAGCCCAGCUCUUUCCCUUGAGAGAUUUGUUAUCAUGGGCAUUUUACUUCACCCUUUUAGUCCUCAGCUUCUGCAUCUAUAAAAUGAAGGUCAUUGUUGUGAACACACAAGGAAACGUGAGGUCAUGUAUUAAUAUUUUAGUUUAGGGCCUGACACACUGUAGGCCCUCAGUGGAUGGCACUGCUUUCACUUUUUGAUCUGUCGCGCUUUACUGCCUUAAAUUCCAGCUAAAAAUAUUAGGCAGACUAUUAAAGUUCAUAUCUUUACCCGUGGCAAAAAGCUACUGAAUUUUUAUUCCACCGACAUGCUAUUUGUUAAAAUAUUUCAUUCAAUACACCUUCAUUGAAUAAAAUAUUAAAUCAACUAAGUGAAGAUGAAAAU
rnacentral:lncRNA from 1 species